rnacentral:rRNA from 1 species
UCGGGAAUAUUGCGCAAUGGAGGAAACUCUGACGCAGUGACGCCGCGUGCAGGAAGAAGGUUUUCGGAUUGUAAACUGCUUUAGACAGGGAAGAAACAAGACAGUACCUGUAGAAUAAGCUCCGGCUAACUACGUGCCAGCAGCCGCGGUAAUACGUAGGGAGCAAGCGUUAUCCGGAUUUAUUGGGUGUAAAGGGUGCGUAGACGGGAAGGCAAGUUGGUUGUGAAAUCCCUCGGCUUAACUGAGGAACUGCAACCAAAACUAUCUUUCUUGAGUGCUGGAGAGGAAAGUGGAAUUCCUAGUGUAGCGGUGAAAUGCGUAGAUAUUAGGAGGAACACCAGUGGCGAAGGCGACUUUCUGGACAGUAACUGACGUUGAGGCACGAAAGUGUGGGGAGCAAACAGGAUUAGAUACC